AAUAUUGGACAAUGGGCGCAAGCCUGAUCCAGCAAUGCCGCGUGUGUGAAGAAGGUCUNCGGAUUNUNAAGCACUUUAAGUUGGGNGGAAGGGUUGUAGGUUAAUACACUGCAAUUUUGACGUUACCAACAGAAUAAGCACCGGCUAACUUCGUGCCAGCAGCCGCGGUAAUACAGAGGGUGCAAGCGUUAAUCGGAAUUACUGGGCGGAAAGCGCUGGUAGGUGGUUCAGUAAGAUGGAAAUGAAAUCCCCGGGCUUAACCUGGGAACUGCUUUCAUAACUGCUGAGCUAGAGUACGGUAGAGGGUAGUGGAAUUUCCUGUGUAGCGGUGAAAUGCGUAGAUAUAGGAAGGAACACCAGUGGCGAAGGCGACCACCUGGGCUAAUACUGACACUGAGGUGCGAAAGCGUGGGGAGCAAACAGG
rnacentral:rRNA from 1 species